AUUUGGUGAAUAGCGUGUCGACUGUGUGCUUCAAAUUUCAUAUAUAAACAGUAAGUGAAGUUAAUUUUAUGAUGACUUGUACUCAUUCGUUUUUGGCCUUCGUGAAAUAUUUCAUAGACAUCGAAGAAGCGUUAUAGGCCGGUAAUUACGCGCCUCACUUAAGCGUGGUGUACACUUUUGCAACUCAAGAGAGUUAUAGAUCUCAGUUAAAUUAAAAUUUUGUCAUGGAAUUUAUUACCAGUAUUUUACUGGCCAAUUAUUAAAAAAGUGAAAACUUGACUUAGAAAACUCCAUUAAAAGUGUGGAAGAUUUGGCGCAUGCGCUCUACCGUCUUCGCACAUUACAGCAUUGUCAUCUAAAAGUUUACAAAAUUUUUUUUAAGGACAGAAUAUAUAAAAGUUUUUGUUCGUAAAGUUCUUGUCCAGGUUCUUGUCAUAGCCCACUUGGGCAAUUCUGAUUUCGUUUCAGUGAGUAUGGAUCGCUUAGAAAGUUUUAAACAAGCAAUUCGCGCAACACUUACUUCGGCUAAACACGGACAGACUUUACCAGAGUUAAGGAAGAGUUUUCUUGAAUUGGGGAUUAGGCCUAACCCAUUCGAAGAGAUGAAGAUUAGUGAAGUCGACUUCUUCACAAAGUACCCCGAUGUAGGUCGGAUGGAAGUCCACAACGGUAUACACGUGUUUUUUGCUAUUCCAACGGCUCAAGACAAGCAUAUCCAUAAAAUGGUGCAACAACAGAAGAGGGGAAAACUUAAAAGUCUAACUAAGCGAAUUGAAACUGCGAAAAGACUUGAUACCAGAGGGAAUUUUCGACCAGUUGUGAAUUGUAGUAUGCGAAAUAGAAGAUUUGCUUCAAACCGAGGUGGAUCUCUUUCAAGAUCUAGCAUGCCAUCCAGAAUGGCACUGAAUGAAAUUAGAAACAGAACAAGCCAGCAAAAGUUGAUGCCAAGCAGAAGCUUUCCUCCCAAUACUAGAAGUGGCACUUUUACGAGCUCAAUAGGAUCUAGGGAGAACACCAGCUCGACUGCGUCAUACAGUUUAGCAAGAGGAAAUACAACUACGUCAGCGUGUGUCAGAAGGUCUGAUGUGGCUUUAGAUAUGGCCAGAAAUAAAAAUAAUUCAAGUCAAGAUAGCGAAAUUUCAUCAAGAAGUAGCUGUACUUCUUCAACAUCAAGACUAAGGGCUAUCAUGAACGAUCCCUUUCGUAAUAAACCGACCGUAGCAACCCGAAGAGAAGGUUCCCCGGUAUUUAAUUCUGGAUGUGCUAGUCGUUCAAGUGAAAGUCAUUACAAUAGCCCCUCAGAAAAUUUUUCUCGCGGUGUGCAAGCCAGAGGAACAGCUAUUUCCGAUAGGGAGAAUAGGAAUCCUUAUAAUAUGAAAGAUGAUGAACGGGAUAUAAACCUCAGAAGAAAUCUCGGUACUCCAGCACCUAAGAAAUGUACGGUGAUAGUUAAUCCCGAUGCAUCAAGUAAGACUCUAGAAUCUGAAAGUACUGGGAAGCGCAGUGCGACUUUAUCAAGAAUUCAACCUGCUCGAAUCGAAUUUGAACCCAAGUCCGAUUCAUCGAGACGAAAGCUAAAUUCUUUGGAGAAUUGUAUUUCUGCUGAUUCAGAAAGCAAUAAAUCGGUUGAAGUAAAACCACUGACUACGAGUUCUUUUCCUAGAAGACUAUCAUGUGAAAAUAACAUCUCUCAGGUUAAUAAAUCCUCAGAAAAUUCUACACCAAAACGAGGUAUUCCUUUUGAACGAAUACGAAAAUCCAUCGAAAACCUUGAUCUCUCUGAUAACAACAAAGUUAAUUCUAUAGUUGUUAAUCGAGUUAACCAGGAUGAACAUUUAGAGAAAAGAAACGAUACCAGCAUUUUGGAUACUAAGAAACAAGAUCUGGAUGUUUUGGGUGAUAACCUUCGUCAAUUAGCCCUUCGGAAUAGAAAGAAUGAAUCCGACAAAUCGAGGGAGGUUUCUCUUGAUAAUAUCAAGGACAUCACGGACCCACUUUGCUUGCCAGCAAUAGAUACCCCAAAGGAAGCCUCAAUUUCAGCAUGCAGGAGAAUGAUUACAAACCAUCUGGCUUUGAAUAAAAGAAAAGUCAUUUCAUCUUUAAAAUCGGAAAAGAAUGAAGAGACAGACACAGUUGUAACUUCCAAGAAAAUCGUACCUAGUGGAACACCUAUAAAUAAGGGACCAUCACAAUUGGAACGCAAUAUUAUGAACGCAAAAUUGAACGAAAAUAGAGCACUAGGAAAGAACCAUGUUUUGAAUGAAUUUUUCAUUUGUGGUAUACCACUUGGUACAACUGAACUGGAGUUGAGAACUUCUCUCUAUGAUUAUGGGUUUAUAGAGAAAAUGACUUUGAAAAUGGGCUAUGCUUUUGUGACAUUUUCCUCAGCCGAAGAAGUAAGAGCUAUUUUGAAAACACGAUAUAUAGAUCUCAAAGGGACAAGAAUUGAAUGUAAAGAAAUGCAAACAAGAGAUAAGUUGCAUCAUGCAGUAGACAAAUCUGAACCUUUAUAUGAUGAAUUCUUAGUGUAUGUUAAAAGCGUACCAGCUUUCUGGUCGGAUGAAAAGCUAAAGGAUGUAUUUUCGUCUUUUGGUAAUGUAACUAAUGUCGCUAAUUCCAGAAAAGGUUAUGGCUUUGUCUACUACGAUAAUAAGGAUAUUGCAGCUGCUGUUGUUAAACAAGGGACUUUGCUAGUGCAAAACGUUUUGUUGAUGUUAGAAAAAGGAAGACGUCUUUAAUAAACUUUGAACUUUUUGAUAAUGUUAAUGUCUGAUAGUCUGGUAACUUUACUUAGUUGAAGACCAGACAGUUCCUGUACAGAAGAGCAAAAUAAUUUUAUACAUUCCAUUUUAACAUUUAGUGAUCGGAAUAUUUAAUCAUUUUCAAUUGGUAAUUUGCAGCUUUCAUUUCACAAGCUCAGUUUAUUUAAUGCUAAAAGAUUAAUCUGGAACUCACGUAUAUCAUUAUAUUUUACUUAAAUGUUGAAUAUGAUUUAAUAUUCUAUCGUGUAUACUAACUCAGUUAUAUACUACAAGGUUAUUUUUGUAACAUGAAAUAAGGAGACUCGUCACUUCUCUUAAUAUUUUCGUCAUAGUCGUCUACUGCUUUUUCACUACUUCCUGGACGAAUUUCGGAUGUUUCUGAAUUUUUUCUUCUUACAUAUGCAGUAGAACUAAAAUGCCUUAUCUUUGCCUUUGUUUUACCGCAACUAAAGGACAAUCCGUGAAAGAACGUGUACAAAGCGAGUAAUAUUGCAACUAGUAAGAAUAUAAAUUUAAGAGGAUAAAACGGAUCUGUAACGUCAACUUGAACAGAAGUUCCUUUAAAACGUUCAGUUACGUUCUCUUGAACGUCAUCCAUCUUUGGAGAUAUAAAGAAUAUGUUGAUGAUAAACCCAAAAACACAGAGCAGAACUUAUAUUAGAGGAUACUGUAACUCAUAGCAUAUUUACAGCGAAGUAAACAAGACGUUUUAUUAUAUAAAGUGCAGGCAAAGCUCUCCUAUCUUGUCCCUCAAAUCAUUUUACGGAUAUUCACCUCUACUUGAGAAUACAAGCCAACCUCUCGAUCGAUUUUAGAUUAUUUAUUGGGUUGUUAAUUUCUAGGCUUAUGUAUUAUAUUUUAACGGUAGUUUUUAAAGUAAGAACCAAAUUUUCGCGUCGUCUACAAUUGUUCAUUUAAAAGAAUAAAGAAAAAACGAAAGAAAGAGAAAAUAGACUUGGUUUGGUUUAGUUAAUUAAAUUGGAUUAUUAACUUGAAUAUCUUUUCUCGCUAGUCUAAUAGAUAUUAACACUGAAUCAUUUUAUAAAUGUUUUAAGGGUGCAGUCAGAUAGUCCUCUGAUCUAUUUAGACUGUUAUGUCUCUUUUAUGGGCAAUCUGUCACUCCAUCCUAA
rnacentral:misc_RNA from 1 species